ACCGCAGCAGGGGUGCGGAGAGGGACUGGGGGCGGGUGAGUACUGCUCCCGCAGCUCUGCUGGCCCUCUCUCUGCCCCGAGCUGUGCCUGGACAAUCCUCCUCGUCCUCCCGGCCCCCGCUCGCCAAUGCUGUGGCCUGCACCUGCAUCGCUCUCUGGGAACCUCGGAGACCUCAACUCCUUCGUACUGGUCUUACCCCUUCGUACUGGUCGGGGUUUACUGCAGGUCCACCUCCCCUAGGCCAUGGCCAGGUGGGGGAAGGUCACUCCAGGACGCUAGUGACUCUGCCCAGCUCUGCUCCGCCUCUCUGCUUAUGCACCUGCCGCCCCCUCGCACUCUCUGCCACUGCGGUUGCAGUUCCGGCCCGUCCCUCUUCUGCAGGCCAGCCCAGCGGGCAGCCUCGGUUCCUGACUCCUGGUCUGUGCUUGUGGGCGGCCUGAACCACCUCAAUCCGGACAAUUGCCAAACCCACCCUGGGCUGUAGCUGGGAACCGGUUGUGGCUCCUGCCAGUCUAGACCCCGGGGAACAAUUUAUGCACGUGACCCAGCCACCUAAGACUCUCCUGGCCCAGGUCUGUGGCUGGUAUUCCCAUUGGCUUACUGUUCUGUCUCACUGGGGGCACCCCUACCCUAUACUGUAGAAUUCUUGGAAUGACAGAGCACUUGGGAAGACCCAGCUCACAUGUCAAGAUGUCGCAGAGCACUGUGUUGGACAUGACCAUUCUUUCCAUCCUUGUUGGCUGAAAAUCCGCCCUUAUUUUCAUCCACCGAGCCCCUGAACAGCUUUCCACACAGCUCUUAUGGUGAUGACACAGCAGAAAACAUGGCGAGGCUUCUGCAGUGGCUGCAGAAAAGCCUGUCCCUGGAGCGACCUGGCCGGUCGCGCAAAGAGCUAGCUUCUUAUCAAAGACCUUCCCAACACAGAGAUGGGUUCCCAAGACACCCUGCCAUUUUCAAGGUCAAUCUUGCAGGCCCAAGGACAAAACCGAAGGGAUGCAAAAAUGAGCUUUUUCUCAUUAAUCCCACUUGCAAGACUGAAGAAAACCUUAAAAUACCCAAAAUUCAGGGGAGACAUAGCAACUGAGUCUCAUGGAGUCCACAGGGGCUGCCGACCCACUGUGUCAAGGACAACUGUGAGAGCAGCUUGUUGAGAAAGAAGUCACUCUGCUUUGCCCCUGCAGCGUUUAUUUUGGAAAAAACCCAAGUUUGUGGUUGGUAAGCUAUUAGAAGAGACUGUACCUGUAGAUUUGAUGCCACUGUCUCUAGGCAGAACUUACAUUGUGGAGGGGAUUCCGCAGACCAGACCACUGGGAGGUGUGUGUGUGUGUGUGUGUGUGUGUGUGUGUGUGUGUGUGUGUACCUCAUAUAUAUAUGAGGGAGGAAACCCCGUGGGCAGAAUCAGGAAAAAAAAAACCAUAAGGAAUAAGUAGGGUGUAAGUAGCUUCAAAAGGGAUGAGACUUGGCUGGAGUUUGAUGGUUUCUGCCUAUAAUCCCAGACUGGAGAUAGGCAGGAGGAUUACACAUCUGAGGAAGAAAGAAAAGUGAGUAAGAGGACUCUUAAGACUGAUGCGGUGACCAUUCCUCAUAGCCAGUGUACCUCAAACCCCCAGAACAGUUUGCAAACAGUUCAUCGUGGCAGGUUUUAAAUCAGAACUUUCUUUACUAUUGAGAAAGAAAGAAAGAAAGAAAGAAAGAAAGAAAGAAAGAAAGAAAGAAAGAAAGAAAGAAAGAGAGAAAGAAAGAAAGAAGAGGAAAAGAAAAAGGAAAGGAAAGAAAAGAAAAGAAAAGAAAAGAAAAGAAAAGUGCUGCCCCUUAGCUGUCGACUUGUAUGAUAAAUGCCAGUUAUACUGGGAGUGGGGAGUGGGAGACAAGCUUGCUUGACUUUCUUGCCCUUGCCCGGUCUUCCUUGGGUAGAUUUCUCCCCUUCUCAGGUGAGUUCCUCAGCUCUGCGCAGGUCAGGCAUGCAGGGCCAUCGCAGCAUCCCCCUUUAGGUUCCUUAGAAUCAUCCCUGUUCCCACCAGAGCUAGUGUUGCCAUGGGAGAACAUGAUCUCAGCCCACUUAUGUGGGACCCAUUUCUGUCUCUGGCUCACCUCAAGCUCCACCUGCCCAGCCAGUCUCCACCAUCUGGAGCUGUCUUAUGCAUUUCACCAUCUUCCCAUCUAGAGCAGCCCUGGGAAAACCGAGACAGAGAGGUAUUCACAUUCCCCGCUUCCAGGUCUGCCAGCUUCUCCACUUUGGUCAAGGCGCUUGUUCACCAGGGCUGUUCCCAGGGCUGUAAAAUUAGAGUGAUACAUUGUAGCCAGGAUUAAAAGAAGGAUGUGGGAAAGUGUUAAGCACAGUGCCUGGUGCAUAGCAAAAGCUAUUAAGUAGCUAGCUUAACUAUGAUUCCUUCCACGUGACCUUGCCUAACCUUGAGGCUAUUGGUAUGACUUUAUGACUGACCAUCUUAACUGUGAUACUUAACUAGGACUCUGAGUUCACCUGGAAGGUCACCCUGACUAAUUCCCCACCCUCAAUGCCACCUUUUCCCUCUCUUCCCAACGUGCUUCCUGCUCUAUGACCUCGGCUAACUCAAGUAAUGAAUAACUCAAGCACAUAAUGUCCCUUUGGAGUGUACUGGGCUGGGCUUUUGUUCCAGGGCCCCUUCUGUGAAGGGUGCUGUACCAGCAGGUUGAAAUCGAAAUGUGUGUGGUUCUCGAGAGGGAGGGGUGCCUCCAGCAGGUGCAGCACACAGCUGGGUGUGGACCAACCAAGAGCGCUGUUCCCGCAGUACCUGUGCAAGUUCACUGGAGAAAGAGUGUAUUCAGCUCAGUAUAAGGGCUCAAGGAGAGAACAACUGUCAGACAUCUUUCUGUGCUGGCUAGGGAAAAGAGAUGGUUCUGGUAUCCUAUGAUUGGUUCUGCCCAAGGUUAAUAUUCUGUGUGGGUGGACAGAGGUGAAGCAUUAAACAGACUUGACAGCCGAGAACUGACUGGGGCGGGGCGUUAUCCAAGUGAGGAUAACAGAUUCCAACUCCCGAAAACAGCCAGUUGCAUUUGUAGUUGAUAGAGCAUUUACCUGGGGGGCAGAGACAGGGUCCAGCAGGUAAAAGCAGGAUGAGAUAGAUAUUCCUGACUGCAGCAAGAUGGCCAUCCAGAAACGGGGUUGAGAAGACGAGACUGAACACAUCACCUAUAAGAUUCUUCUGCCCCUAGCCAGGGAGACUAAAAUGGAGGUGCCCACAAAGGGAAGAGUGCGACUUGGCAGCCUGCUUGAGAGAACCAGAGCCGAAAACAGAACUCCCUGGAGCAGUCAGCUCUCUAAAGCCCUCUGGCAAACAGAAUGCACUCAGGCUCUGCAGAGGCUGCGGAAGGCUGAGCUGCCAACCCCACGUUCACACACUCACACACGUGCUCACACACAGCGGGGUUCUUUUCGGCCAGCCCCGGAGUAUUUUAAGUACAGAGUGGAGGGGCUGAGGGGAUGAGUGCCGAGGUGACUCAUCCUGGCAGCAGAAGCUGUGUGCACUGCAGAAGAAAAUGGCUCAGUGGCAGGCCGUGGGGGAAAGCAGCUGGGGUGUACAGUUCUGCAGUUGGAGGGCUUGGGAAAAGGCUGUGGACCGGUCAACGUGGCUGGACUGUAAGUGGACAAGAGGCAGGGUUGAAUACCCUCACCAUCUAUCAAGAAGGACUCCUGAUUAGUCCACAGGGUGUCACUCUGCUUUAUAAUGGUUGCCUCAUGGUUACUAGAGAAACUACUCUCUGAGAGGGAUCCGGUUUCAGACACCUUGAAUGGGCAAAUGGAGACUAAUAGGCACUGUCCUCCACUGCUUCCAUUUGUGGUCUUUUCGACACGUUUCUAUAUCCCUAGGUCUGGAAUGGAGUCUAUGACCUAUGUGAGGAGAGUAUGAAAAUAACAAAUAGAGACCCUGUAGCCUAAGGAUCAAGAUUCUAGUUAUCCUCAUAGUCCAGAGGGUCGGACAAGAGGACCAGAAGUUCAAAGUCAUCUUCUGCUGCAUAAAUCUGAGGCUAAGCUAGCUCCAUGAGACCUUGCCUCAGAACCCCAAAGAGACCUUUUCAACCUAGCUUCUUUGGGCCUAUAUGGUGGAGGUGGCCGCAACCAAGAGAAAACGAUAUAUAGAGAAUGGUGUUGGCUUUGUUCUGGCAAAACAGAGGUUCAGACAAAGGCCAGAAGAUAAUGGUGGUGCUCCUGAAUAGAGGUCCCCUGGUUCAAACGUCCAUCUACUGGAACAAGGUCAAUGAUCCUCCAGGGACUCUCAACUCCCUAUCUACGCACUCUCUACAGCAAAACAUCCUGUGCUUGGGAAAGUCUGAGCUGAACCCAGCUCCUGUGGCUUCUGCUCAAUCUUAGUUCCUUGUUUGCAAGAAUGAGAGGCAAACAGCAAGCCUUGUGCAUCUUUGUAUAGAUAGAAAACAACCCUCCCAACCCCCCAUUUUACAGUAUUUGGGUUUGGCUUUUUUUCUCUUUCUUUUCUCUUCUCUUUCUUCUCUUCUCUUCUCUUCUCUUCUCUUCUCUUCUCUUCUCUUCUCUUCUCUUCUCUUCUCUUCUCCUCUCCUCUCCUCUCCUCUCCUCUCCUCUCCUCUCUUCCUCUUCCUCUUCCUCUUCCUCUUCCUCUUCCUCUUCCUCUUCCUCUUCCUCUUCCUCUUCCUCUUCCUCUUCCUCUCCUCUCCCUCUCCUCUCCCUCUCCUCUCUGUGGGAAGCCAACUCCAAGAUGGCGCCGGUUUCCGGUUGCCGUUGUCAUAAACAACACCACUGCGCAGGCGUCAAUUCGAAUUUGGGGCCAACCCCUCCCAAGCGGGUGCAUGCAAAUUGGGUGCUGGCAGACUGACCAACCCCAGGGGGCCACGGAGCCUUCUCCUGUGCUGGGGUACAUAUAAGCAGGGCUCCCUGGGCGCCUGGGGUCCCCGUAGAAGCAUCAAGGCGAUCCUGCAAUAAAGGCUGUUGAGAAGA
rnacentral:lncRNA from 1 species